CCCAACUGUGCAAGACCGUCGUUAAAGCCUCGCUCCGCUGUCCUCUUUGUCUCCGUGUCCACUUACUGGGUUCAGACCAGUGAGUUUCUCACAUUUUGGGGGCUCGUCUAGGAUCCUCUUGCCUGUGCAAGUUGGGGGCCCAAGCGGAGUGGGAAGACGCGUCCCCCAGCUUUGGGCGGCCCAUCUGCCGGGGCAUCUCACCUUCGCCCGGAAGCCAAGGGGAGACCCGAGACUGUUGUGUGGAGACAGCGUGACCGAAGCAGGGGAGAAAACGCAGGCACCGCGGCAACCAGGCGACCUCGUGCCUGAGCCAAGGGCUCCAGUGCUUUGCGAGCGACGAAGCCUCCCGCUCCCCGGAGGGCGGACACUGCGCCCUCUGCCGGUCACCCAGGGCGCUUCCCUCUUUCCCCUCAACGCCAGAGACGGGAAAGCCGAGGAGGAGGCGCAGGAGACCCCCCAGGACAAGUCGGGGUGUUGGGGAGCGUUGUGUGCUUUCCUCGUCCUCUAGGUAAUUCUGCAAAAUCAGCUUAACACCAGAAAUCUACGGCUUUAGUCCCCUCCCGGGAUGGCAGCUUCCUGGUUUGGGAGCUUAUCAGGACUGUCUGCCCUCCUCCAAGAAGGGCGGAGUGGUCUGUUUGCUAAUGAGCUGAAAGGACUCCUCACCCAGACUUCCCCGCCUGAGCCCUUCACUCACUGCUUCCAGCCUGGGGACCUGGUGUUAGUAAAGUCCUGGAAAGGAGACCGACUCCAGCUCAGCUGGGAAGGCCCCUGCCAAGUGCCUCCUGACCACAGAGACGCAGUGAGGACGGCCGAAAAGGGCUGGACUCAUUACAUCAGAGUAAAGAAACUGAGGGGGUCUGGGGACAAAACAGAAUUGGCAGGUGUCCCAGGUGGUGACCAACUCUUAAGGCUGAAACUAAAAAGAACCUGAAGUGUUAACUGUUAUCCUUCUAACUAUAUUUCACAGACAAGUCUCAGGGAACCCUAGAAUGGAAAGGAACUCUGGGUUAUCCUGUCAGGCCCCCAAACCAUCAGGUUUGGUGGGUGUCAGGUUCUCUCUGUGGUGACUUAAGUGACCAAGCACAGCUUCCCAGAGGUAGUAAGUGUCUAUGUCCUGAAUGGAUGCAUAUUAAUGGAAUAAAAAAGGGAAAUGGGCCCCCAUGUGCAGGGUGGAGUGGUGUCUGGUGGACUACCCAGUUUCAAGGACGGACGGCCCCUCGUGCAGCAGGAAAAACCUUUAAAAGGAAAGCUCCCCUAAGCUCCCCUUGGCUAAAGGAAUUUCUCCUGAUAAUUGCCAGGACAGACAGUGUAAUCCCCUCUUGUUAACUAUACAUAAUCCUCAAGACUCAAGGGGAAGGUUUCACAACUCCUAUGGGGAACUUACUGACUUGUUCCCACGUCCUAAAUGUCUCUAAAGAGGGCAACUUCUCGAAAUCACAGCCCCCCGCCGAGCAGGUGUUCGGAGGUGCUGUGGAAAGGGGAACCUGCGCUACUCGUUGCCAUCGAACUGGACUGAGACUUGGGCUUUAGUCCAAUUGGCCAUUCCAUUUACCCUGGCAUUUCUCUCCACACCCAAUGAAAAGGAAAUUUUUAAUGGAAAUUGGAGGUCAUUACAAGGAUCCUUUGAUUUGAAUGUAUACAUUGACUCAAUAGAAGUCCCCAGGGGAGUCCCUGAUGAAUUUAAAGCUAGAAACCAAAUAGCUGUGGGUUUUAAAUCAGCACUAUUUUGGUGGUCCACCAUCAACAUAAAUGUAAAUUGGGUCAGUUGUAUUUACUAUUAUCAACAAAGGUUUAUUAUUAACUAUGCCAGGCAUGCUCUUCAAGGAGUAGCUAGCCAAUUAGACACUACCAGCAGGAUGGGAAAAUAGGAUAGCAUUAGAUGUGCUCUUAGCAGGAAAAAAAGGAGGAAUCUGUGUUAUGUUGAGAGGAAAAUGUUGUACUUUUAUCCCAAAUAAUACUGCCCCUGAUGGUACUGUUACUAAAGCCCUACAGGGACUCACCACUUUAGCUAAUAAAUUAGCUGAAAACUCUGGCAUCAGUGACCCUUUUACAAACUGGUUGGAAGGAUGGUUUGGAAAAUGGAAAGACAUGGCUGCCACUGUCUCAACAUCCCUUGUUAUAGUUGCAGGAGUUGUAACUGCUGUAGAUGCUGGAUAUUCUCUUGUGUGAGAGGCCUGACCCCGAGGCUUAUAGACGCAGCCAUAAACAAAUACCUAUGACAUGCACCCAAAAUAAUCUGUUACUAGAAGGUAAAUCUGACUAUGAAGAAGAGAGUAAAAAUCUAUUAGAGAAAUUUGAAAAAGUACCAAGCAUGAGUUGAAAUACAUUACUGGGAAUAAAAUCAGAGAUUCUUAAAUAAGAAGAGGGGGAACUGUUAGAAAAAGCAUAAAACCUAAAUGGGAUUUAUCCCACCAGGUUUAAACAUUUUAACAGUAAGGUAUUAACGGCCACAUGGUGGAAAAUACGCCAGGAAGCUGCUCAUGCUGAGAGUGGGGGUGGGGAGGGAAUUGGUAAGGACCUGGCUGUACCUCUUUGAGUUUUUUAAACCUACCAAUGAAAUUAAGACAAAUGCAAGAGAAGGCCCAAUGUGGAUAUAAUUGGCUUAGGCGACGUCCGGGAAAGAAUGUGGACCCUGCAGGACUCAGCCAAUGAGGAGCCGGGGGAGGGACUCACAUGCCUGGGAAUAAAUUACUUGGCACCACUGGCCUCAGGUGUGCCUGCCCACCAGACACCCGACCUUGCAAGACUGUCACUGAAGCCUUGCUCCGCUGUCCUCUUUGUCUCCAUGUCCAGUUACUGGGUUUGGACCAGUGUUCUCACAAGUGUUUUCCAGUUUCCUUCAUGUAAAUACUCCUCCCGUGGUCAAUUUCACUGUCAAUAUGAUGUCACUGAACAUAGGGUUGGGAAGAGUUGCCAGAGACAAACCAUUCCAUUUCACAACACUGGUUCGGUAGCUGCAAAUAACCUUCAGAUCACAGAUGAUAAUAAAACAUGGUAAAAUGACUAGGAAGUGAGAAGUUUUGAAUAUCUCUUUAAUGGAGUUAUAAUUAACAAAAAACUUAUCAUACUUAAGAUUUGAAACAUGCCUAACACCCCUGAACCGAAAGUUUCGUUGAAAACAUAAAAGAUUAUAAUAUCGCAAUAAUUUAACCACUUCAGUUGCUCAAAAAACAAAAAGGCAAGAUAUUUGAAAUACAGGCAAUUUAAAAAAGUCAGCUUUGAUGAUGUUUUUGUCACAAAUGAUAACGAAUGCAAAUUAACAGUUGAGAUCAGAAAGAAUGUAAAUAACAGUAGUUUGCCAACAUCUUGUUUUGGAGUCAAACAUUUUUUAUUAUGAACUCUCUGGAAGUUUUUAUCUUUGUUCUUGACAGAAAAAAUGUAAGCCAACAUAAUUAUCCAUUUCAGGAUCUCUAAAGUGACUGAGGAAUUUCAAUAAACUUGACAACAUUCAGAGGGAACAUAUUUAAAUAGUGUUAUGUUCUAGACAUAAAGUUUUCCAGUGCAUACAAGUGAGGGUUCAUUGAAAUCUGCCGCAUUUCAGUUGCGCAUAUUUGGUAUGUCUGUAAUAACAAAAAGUACAAUCAGCACUAAUGUUUUGGAGAAGAAAAUAGCUGCCUGUUGUCUCCCUGCCCAGAUCUAGGGCUGCAUCUCAAAAAGCACGUCUCACCCUGAUUGUUUAUAGUUCAUAAUGCGUAAUCAAAACCAAAAGUUUCUGUGAUGACUGCCCUUGCACUGUCCACCAUGUAAGAACUUAUUCACUAUGUAAGAAUUUGUUCACCAUGUAAGAACUUUUUUGUUAUGCUUCAGAAGAUUGGAGACUGUUGAGAAUUAGGCUUGGGGUUGAUUAAUGAUUGUGCAUUGAGUCCCUUAUACAGAAUUUUAUUGUUGUUAACAACCAUUUGAUCAAUAAAUAUGAGAGAUGCCCUCUCAAAAAAAA